GACGAACGCUGACGGCGUGCUUAACACAUGCAAGUCGAAGGGAGUGGCGAACGGGUGAGUAACACGUGAGUAACCUCCCCUUUUCUUUGGAUUAAUCCUGGGAAACUGGGUCUAAUCCGCGUUAGAAUGUGAGGGGCUCGCGGCUUAUCGGCUUGUUGGUGGGGGGAUGGGUUACCAAGGCUUUGACGGGUAGCCGGCAUGAGAGGGGGGACGGUCACACUGGGACGGUGAUACGGCCCAGACGCCGACGGGAGGGAGCAGUGUGGGAUAUGGCACAAUGGACGAAGGUCUGAUGCAGCGAGGACGGGGGGGGGAUGAAGGUCGUCGGGUUGUAAACGCCUUGCGCCCGGGGAAUGGUAGUGGGUAAAGAAGCGCCGGCUAACUACGUGCCAGCAGCCGCGGUAAUUC
rnacentral:rRNA from 1 species